rnacentral:siRNA from 1 species
AGUUGUUGCAGUUAAAAAG